CCUGACGCAGCAACGCCGCGUGGGGGAAGAAGGCCUUCGGGUUGUAAACCCCUUUCAGUUGGGACGAAGCUUCGCCGGUGAAUAGCCGGCUGGAGUGACGGUACCUUCACAAGAAGCCCCGGCUAACUACGUGCCAGCAGCCGCGGUAAUACGUAGGGGGCUAGCGUUGUCCGGAAUCAUUGGGCGUAAAGCGCGUGUAGGCGGUUCGGUAAGUCCGCUGUGAAAGUCGGGGGCUCAACCCUNGGAUGCCGGUGGAUACUGUCGGACUAGAGUGCGGAAGAGGCGAGUGGAAUUCCUGGUGUAGCGGUGAAAUGCGCAGAUAUCAGGAGGAACACCAAUUGCGAAGGCAGCUCGCUGGGACGUUACUGACGCUGAGACGCGAAAGCGUGGGGAGCAAACAGGAUUAGAUACCCUGGUAGUCCACGCCGUAAACGAUGGGCACUAGGUGUGGGGGGUGUCGACUCCCUCCGUGCCGAAGCUAACGCAUUAAGUGCCCCGCCUGGGGAGUACGGCCGCAAGGCUAAAACUCAAAGGAAUUGACGG
rnacentral:rRNA from 1 species